rnacentral:rRNA from 1 species
CUGGGUUGGAACCCUCCAGAAGUCCGCAGAGAUGUGGAUGUGCCCGCAAGGGAAUUGGAUGUCCAGGUGCUGCAUGGCUGUCGUCAGCUCGUGUCGUGAGAUGUUGGGUUAAGUCCCGCAACGAGCGCAACCCUUGUCGUUAGUUGCCAGCGGUUCGGCCGGGCACUCUAACGAGACUGCCGGUGUUAAACCGGAGGAAGGUGGGGAUGACGUCAAGUCCUCAUGGCCCUUAUGCCCAGGGCUACACACGUGCUACAAUGACCGGUACAAAGGGUUGCAAACCUGUGAAGGCAAGCUAAUCCCAAAAAACCGGCCUCAGUUCAGAUUGAAGUCUGCAACUCGACUUCAUGAAGUCGGAAUCGCUAGUAAUCCCUGAUCAGCAGGCAGGGGUGAAUACGUUUCC